rnacentral:rRNA from 1 species
AUUGAACGCUGGCGGCAUGCCUUACACAUGCAAGUCGAACGGUAACAGGUUAAGCUGACGAGUGGCGAACGGGUGAGUAAUGUAUCGGAACGUGCCCAGUCGUGGGGGAUAACUACUCGAAAGAGUGGCUAAUACCGCAUACGACCUGAGGGUGAAAGCGGGGGACCGUAAGGCCUCGCCCGAUUGGAGCGGCCGAUAUCAGAUUAGCUAGUUGGUGGGGUAAAAGCCCACCAAGGCGACGAUCUGUAGCUGGUCUGAGAGGACGACCAGCCACACUGGGACUGAGACACGGCCCAGACUCCUACGGGAGGCAGCAGUGGGGAAUUUUGGACAAUGGACGCAAGUCUGAUCCAGCCAUGCCGCGUGCGGGAAGAAGGCCUUCGGGUUGUAAACCGCUUUUGUCAGGGAAGAAACGAGUUUCUCUAAUACAGAGACUUAAUGACGGUACCUGAAGAAUAAGCACCGGCUAACUACGUGCCAGCCGCCGCGGUAA